AUUUUUAGCGCUGGUGGCCUAGCGGUAAGAGCGUGCGACUUGCAAUCUGGAAGUCGCGGGUUCAAACCCGGCUCGUACCAAUGAGUUUUUCGGAACUUAUGUACGAAAUAUCAUUUGAUAUUUACCAGUCGCUUUUCGGUGAAGGAAAACAUCGUGAGGAAACCAGAC